UUCAUGGAUUUCAUAUUUUUCUUGUUUUUUCAUUGGUAAGAGCGAUUCGCAGGAGUGUUAGAGUAAGAAUGUUGAAAUCGUGUAGCAAUUUCACUAACAAAAAGCUAUUGGUGCGCGGUUAAUUUGACUGGUCCUUCAAAUGAUUUCGAUGAUGAUACACUAGAAUUACGAUUGAGUGAAAAUGUUAAUAAAGGAAUUAAACGAGAACAAGGCCAAUCAAUAGAACAAAAGCAGGCAAAGGGCUUAAAAGGAAAGAAAGCGGACCGGUGGAUGAAAAUAAGGGCAAACGAAGUUAAAGGAAACAAGUUGGGGGAGAUUUGAAGGAUAGGAAUUGAAUAUGAUGGUUGGCGAUGAACAAACCAUAAGAAGUCACCAAGGCUCAAAACGAUUGUUAGCGAGGUCCAGAACAUUUUGAAGAAACAAAGUCAUAAGGAGGCAGGGAAGACAAUAGCAAAGAAAAAUCACGCUACACUCAGAACUAUGACAUCUCUUAAUUCAUUGUGUCGUGCACUUCAUGGCCUAAGUGCCACCCAGUGGAUAUGUAUAAUUGAGAUGGGAUUUGGUAAGAUGUUAGCAUUUGACAUAAACGAAAUCCCACCUAAGCUAGCUUAUCAUGUUUUGAAUUGCUUUGAUGAUAAAAGACUGGUAAUAAAAGUAGGUGAAAGAUUGAUAGAAGUGACGUCACAAGUGGUACACGAAAUGUCAAGAAUACCUCGGGGGAUGAAGCUUCAAUCCGUGGAAGGUGAAACGCAUGAUGGAUCUGUUGUUGAUGUGUGGAAGCAACGAAACGGGAGUAAAAUUGUUACUGCUGUCAUAUUGAAGCUUCAAUCUGUGGAAGGUGAAACCCAUAAUGGGUCGGUGUACACAUGUUUAUUACAUUAAAACUAUCAGAACACAUGUUUUUAUAUGUGCAUAUGUUUGUGGGUUCGAUGUACACGUGUAUGGUUCUGUGUACACAUAUGUGGGUCGGUGUACACAUAUUUUUAUAAAAUAGUUUCACUUGUUUCAGUGAUAUACAAUGAGUAUUAUGACUUUA